GGUGGCUCAGUGGUAGAGUGCUUGCCCUGCAUGCAUGAGGUCCUGGGUUCGAUUCCUCAGCACCA
rnacentral:tRNA from 1 species